CGAAUGCUGACAUAAGUAACGAUAAAGCGGGUGAAAAGCCCGCUCGCCGGAAGACCAAGGGUUCCUGUCCAACGUUAAUCGGGGCAGGGUGAGUCGACCCCUAAGGCGAGGCCGAAAGGCGUAGUCGAUGGGAAACAGGUUAAUAUUCCUGUACUUGGUGUUACUGCGAAGGGGGGACGGAGAAGGCUAUGUUGGCCGGGCGACGGUUGUCCCGGUUUAAGCGUGUAGGCUGGUUUUCCAGGCAAAUCCGGAAAAUCAAGGCUGAGGCGUGAUGACGAGGCACUACGGUGCUGAAGCAACAAAUGCCCUGCUUCCAGGAAAAGCCUCUAAGCAUCAGGUAACAUCAAAUCGUACCCCAAACCGACACAGGUGGUCAGGUAGAGAAUACCAAGGCGCUUGAGAGAACUCGGGUGAAGGAACUAGGCAAAAUGGUGCCGUAACUUCGGGAGAAGGCACGCUGAUAUGUAGGUGAAGUCCCUCGCGGAUGGAGCUGAAAUCAGUCGAAGAUACCAGCUGGCUGCAACUGUUUAUUAAAAACACAGCACUGUGCAAACACGAAAGUGGACGUAUACGGUGUGACGCCUGCCCGGUGCCGGAAGGUUAAUUGAUGGGGUCAGCGCAAGCGAAGCUCUUGAUCGAAGCCCCGGUAAACGGCGGCCGUAACUAUAACGGUCCUAAGGUAGCGAAAUUCCUUGUCGGGUAAGUUCCGACCUGCACGAAUGGCGUAAUGAUGGCCAGGCUGUCUCCACCCGAGACUCAGUGAAAUUGAACUCGCUGUGAAGAUGCAGUGUACCCGCGGCAAGACGGAAAGACCCCGUGAACCUUUACUAUAGCUUGACACUGAACAUUGAGCCUUGAUGUGUAGGAUAGGUGGGAGGCUUGGAAGUGUGGACGCCAGUCUGCAUGGAGCCGACCUUGAAAUACCACCCUUUAAUGUUUGAUGUUCUAACGUGGACCCGUGAUCCGGGUUGCGGACAGUGUCUGGUGGGUAGUUUGACUGGGGCGGUCUCCUCCUAAAGAGUAACGGAGGAGCACGAAGGUUGGCUAAUCCUGGUCGGACAUCAGGAGGUUAGUGCAAUGGCAUAAGCCAGCUUGACUGCGAGCGUGACGGCGCGAGCAGGUGCGAAAGCAGGUCAUAGUGAUCCGGUGGUUCUGAAUGGAAGGGCCAUCGCUCAACGGAUAAAAGGUACUCCGGGGAUAACAGGCUGAUACCGCCCAAGAGUUCAUAUCGACGGCGGUGUUUGGCACCUCGAUGUCGGCUCAUCACAUCCUGGGGCUGAAGUAGGUCCCAAGGGUAUGGCUGUUCGCCAUUUAAAGUGGUACGCGAGCUGGGUUUAGAACGUCGUGAGACAGUUCGGUCCCUA
rnacentral:rRNA from 1 species